rnacentral:rRNA from 1 species
UACCAGCACCCCGAGUGGUCGGGACGAUUAUUGGGCCUAAAGCAUCCGUAGCCGGUCCUACAAGUCUUCCGUUAAAUCCACCUGCUUAACAGGUGGGCUGCGGAAGAUACUAUAGGGCUAGGAGGCGGGAGAGGCAAGCGGUACUCAGUGGGUAGGGGUAAAAUCCUCUGAUCCAUUGAAGACCACCAGUGGCGAAGGCGGCUUGCCAGAACGCGCUCGACGGUGAGGGAUGAAAGCUGGGGGAGCAAACCGG